AGAGUUUGAUCCUGGCUCAGGACGAACGCUGGCGGCGCGCCUAACACAUGCAAGUCGAACGAGAGAGAGGGAGCUUGCUUCCUCAAUCGAGUGGCGAACGGGUGAGUAACGCGUGAGGAACCUGCCUCAAAGAGGGGGACAACAGUUGGAAACGACUGCUAAUACCGCAUAAGCCCACGGCUCGGCAUCGAGCAGAGGGAAAAGGAGCAAUCCGCUUUGAGAUGGCCUCGCGUCCGAUUAGCUAGUUGGUGAGGUAAUGGCCCACCAAGGCGACGAUCGGUAGCCGGACUGAGAGGUUGAACGGCCACAUUGGGACUGAGACACGGCCCAGACUCCUACGGGAGGCAGCAGUGGGGAAUAUUGCACAAUGGGGGAAACCCUGAUGCAGCGACGCCGCGUGGAGGAAGAAGGUCUUCGGAUUGUAAACUCCUGUUGUUGAGGAAGAUAAUGACGGUACUCAACAAGGAAGUGACGGCUAACUACGUGCCAGCAGCCGCGGUAAAACGUAGGUCACAAGCGUUGUCCGGAAUUACUGGGUGUAAAGGGAGCGCAGGCGGGAAGACAAGUUGGAAGUGAAAUCUAUGGGCUCAACCCAUAAACUGCUUUCAAAACUGCUCUUCUUGAGUAGUGCAGAGGUAGGCGGAAUUCCCGGUGUAGCGGUGGAAUGCGUAGAUAUCGGGAGGAACACCAGUGGCGGAGGCGGCUGACUGGGCGCCAACUGACGAUGAGGGUAGAGAGUGUCGGUAUCAAACAGGAUUAGAUACCGUGUUAUCGCACACUGUAAACGAUGAUUACUAGGUGGUGGAGGAGUGACCCCCUGCAGUGCCGCAGUUAACACAAUAAGUAAUCCACGUGGGGAGUACGACCGCAAGGUUGAAACUCAAAUGAAUUGACGGGGGCCCGCACAAGCAGUGGAGUAUGUGGUUUAAUUCGACGCAACGCGAAGAACCUUACCGAGUCUUGACAUCCCUUGACGAACAUAGAAAUAUGUUUUCUCUUCGGAGCAAGGAGACAGGUGGUGCAUGGUUGUCGUCAGCUCGUCUCGUGAGAUGUUGGGUUAAGUCCCGCGACGAGCGCAACCCUUACUGUCAGUUACUACGCAAGAGGACUCUGGCAGGACUGCCGUUGACAAAACGGAGGAAGGUGGGGAUGACGUCAAAUCAUCAUGCCCUUUAUGACUUGGGCUACACACGUUCUGCGGUGGCGUUGUUCCCUGGGGCGCGUGGCCGCGGGUUGGGGCUGCCCCUCCGGCCCGGCGUCCCGGUUCGGUCUGCCGGGU
rnacentral:rRNA from 1 species